UACGUAGGGUGCAAGCGUUAAUCGGAAUUACUGGGCGUAAAGCGUGCGCAGGCGGUUCGCUAAGACAGAUGUGAAAUCCCCGGGCUUAACCUGGGAACCGCAUUUGUGACUGGCGGGCUAGAGUAUGGCAGAGGGGGGUAGAAUUCCACGUGUAGCAGUGAAAUGCGUAGAGAUGUGGAGGAAUACCGAUGGCGAAGGCAGCCCCCUGGGCCAAUACUGACGCUCAUGCACGAAAGCGUGGGGAGCAAACAGG
rnacentral:rRNA from 1 species